rnacentral:lncRNA from 1 species
AUGGAACAGGCACACACAGAAUCUCACCACAUACCAAACAUACUCCAUCAAUGUCACAUGCAGUAGGGUUUUACUUUUAUUUACUUAUUUUUUAUUUUUAUUUUAUUUUUUUUUGGGGGGGGGUUGGGAGUACUGCCAGCCUAGGGAACUAAUGAAAAAUGACCACAGCCAUUUCUGAAGGAUGUCAGACAAAAGGAAGGCAAUGCUGGCGGAUGUUGUCUGGUUUCAUUAUUGUAACUACUUGGAAACAGCCUCAGAUCUGAUGCCUGGGUUUUGAGUCAAGGAGCAUUGCUUGGAGUUGCUUGGACUGUUUUUAAGAAAUGCCGAGACGCAGCAGAGGAAGCUGGCGUGGGGCGGCUUCUAGACUGGCGCCGGCUGAGGGUCCUUGUCUCCUACCCUUCUGUCAGCCAUCCAAUGGACUGUCCCUGUCAGCUCCUUGUCCCUGUUGGUCUUGGGACCUUCCAGUGCCACCUCUGAGAAGCUCUGAGUUACCUGGGAAAGUUCUAAGAUUUGCUCUGGGCUGCACCAGGAUGGGGGCCCAUUACUGCCUGGAGCUUCUUCAUAGCCUCCUCAUGUCUGAAGCAGGGAAUAUACAUUGUCUUAGACACCUCUUUUACUCUUCCUAACAUGCGGCUAUGACCUGACCUAAGCUUUAUAGCUCUUAAGAAGCAACUUUAAUAAAAUAUAAUCUGC